GACGAACGCUGGCGGCGUGCCUAAUACAUGCAAGUAGAACGCUGAAGAGAGGAGCUUGCUCUUCUUGGAUGAGUUGCGAACGGGUGAGUAACGCGUAUGUAACCUGCCUUGUAGCGGGGGAUAACUAUUGGAAACGAUAGCUAAUCCCGCAUAACAAUGGAUGACACAUGUCAUUUAUUUGAAAGGGGCAAUUUCUCCACUACAAGAUGGACCUGCGUUGUAUUAGCUAGUAGGUGAGGUAAUGGCUCACCUAGGCGACGAGACGUAGCCGACCGGAGAAGGUGGUCGGCCCGACUGAGAGUGUGACACGGCCCAGAGGCCUACGGGAGGCAGCAGUAGUGAAUCGUGGGGAAUGGGGGCAACACUGACCGGACAACGCGGCGUGAGUGAGGAAGGUUUUCGGAUCGGAAAGGUCUGUUGUAAGUUAAGAACGGGUGUGAGAGUGGAAAGUUCACACUGUGACGGUAACUUACCAGAAAGGGACGGCUAACUACGUG
rnacentral:rRNA from 1 species